UACGUAGGGUGCGAGCGUUGUCCGGAUUUAUUGGGCGUAAAGAGCUUGUAGGCGGCUCGUCACGUCGGGUGUGAAGACUCGCGGCUCAACCGCGAGCCUGCACCCGAUACGGGCGGGCUGGAGUUCGGCAGGGGAGACUGGAAUUCCUGGUGUAGCGGUGGAAUGCGCAGAGUAUCAGGAGGAACACCGGUGGCGAAGGCGGGUCUCUGGGCCGAUACUGACGCUGAGAAGCGAAAGCGUGGGGAGCGAACAGG
rnacentral:rRNA from 1 species